CCAGCUCCAGGCCUCCCACAUAGGCCUGCAACAGGGCACAAGGAGAAGAGUGGCUGUCCUGUUUUUACCUCAAAUCCACCGAUGAUCACCAAAGCGUGGAUGUUGAACUUGGCGAUGUUCUGGCUGAUUUCCUCCAGUAUUUUAGCCGGCAGAGUUCUUUAUUAAACAGAGACAAAUAACGCCGUGAACAGCUUGUAGUCUAAUGACAAGUUUUUCUUUUCAAUAAAGCAAAACAAUAAGGA